GAUGAACGCUGGCGGCGUGCCUAAUACAUGCAAGUCGAGCGAACGGACGAGAAGCUUGCUUCUCUGAUGUUAGCGGCGGACGGGUGAGUAACACGUGGAUAACCUACCUAUAAGACUGGGAUAACUUCGGGAAACCGGAGCUAAUACCGGAUAAUAUUUUGAACCGCAUGGUUCAAAAGUGAAAGACGGUCUUGCUGUCACUUAUAGAUGGAUCCGCGCUGCAUUAGCUAGUUGGUAAGGUAACGGCUUACCAAGGCAACGAUGCAUAGCCGACGUGAGAGGGGGGUCGGCGGCCCGGGAGGGGGGACACGGUCCAGGCUCCUGCGGGAGGCAGCAGUAGGGAAUCGUAGGCAAGGGGCGAAAGCCUGGCGGAGCAGCGCGGCGUGAGUGAUAAAGGUCUUGGGAUCGUAAAACUCUGUUAUGAGGGAAAAACAUAUGUGGAAGGAACUGAGCACAGCGUGACGGUACCUAAUAAAAAAGCCCCGGCUAACUACGUG
rnacentral:rRNA from 1 species